rnacentral:rRNA from 1 species
UACGAAGGGAGCUAGCGUUGUUCGGAAUCACUGGGCGUAAAGCGCACGUAGGCGGAUUUGUCAGUCAGGGGUGAAAUCCCGGGGCUCAACCUCGGAACUGCCUUUGAUACAGCAAGUCUUGAGUUCGAGAGAGGUGGGUGGAAUUCCUAGUGUAGAGGUGAAAUUCGUAGAUAUUAGCUAGAACACCAGUGGCGAAGGCGGCCAACUGGUCCGGUACUGACGCUGAGGUGCGAAAGCGUGGGGAGCAAACAGG